rnacentral:rRNA from 1 species
GAUGAACGCUGGCGGCGUGCCUUAUACAUGCAAGACGAACGAAGCCUUCGGGCUUAGUGGCCGACGGGUGAGUAACACGUUGGUACCUGCCUCGAAGUGGGGAAUAACUGGCCGAAAGGUCGGCUAAUACCGCAUGUGAUCGCAAGAUCAAAGUCGUAAGACGCUUCGAGAGGGGCCUGCGUACCAUUAGCUAGUUGGUAGGGUAAUGGCCUACCAAGGCGACGAUGGGUAGCUGGAACGAGAGGUAGACCAGCCACACUGGGACUGAGAUACGGCCCAGACUCCUACGGGAGGCAGCAGUAAGGAAUCUUCCACAAUGGACGAAAGUCUGAUGGAGCAACGCCGCGUGCAGGAUGACGGCCUUCGGGUUGUAAACUGCUUUUAUAUGGGAAGAUUAUGACGGUACCAUAUGAAUAAGGACCGGCUAACUACGUGCCAGCCGCCGCGGUAA